rnacentral:rRNA from 1 species
CUACGGGUUGCUGCAGUGGGGAAUAUUGGACAAUGGGGGAAACCCUGAUCCAGCAAUGCCGCGUGUGUGAAGAGGGCCUGCGGGUUGUAAAGCACUUUCGGUUGGGAGGACUGCUUCUAGCACUAAUAUUGUUGGAAGUUGACGUUACCUUCAGAAGAAGCACCGGCUAACUCCGUGCCAGCAGCCGCGGUAAUACAGAGGGUGCAAGCGUUAAUCGGAAUUACUGGGCGUAAAGCGCGCGUAGGCGGCUAGAUCAGUCGGGUGUGAAAGCCCCGGGCUUAACCUGGGAACUGCAUCCGAUACUGUCUAGCUUGAGUACAGGAGAGGAGAGUGGAAUUCCACAUGUAGCGGUGAUAUGCGUAGAUAUGUGGAGGAACACCAAUGGCGAAGGCAGCUCUCUGGCCUGAUACUGACGCUGAGGUGCGAAAGCGUGGGGAGCAAACAGGAUUAGAUACCCGUGUAGUC